GGUAAAAAGAGGAAUCAAACCCCUAUAAAUGGGUCUACAGCCCACUGCCUAACAUUCGGCCAUCUUAC
rnacentral:tRNA from 1 species